rnacentral:rRNA from 1 species
UACGUAGGGGGCAAGCGUUGUCCGGAUUUACUGGGCGUAAAGCGCGUGUAGGCGGCUUUGCAAGUCGGAUGUGAAAGCCCACGGCUCAACCGUGGAAGUGCAUCCGAAACUGCAUGGCUGGAGUCUCGGAGAGGAAGGUGGAAUGCUUGGUGUAGAGGUGAAAUUCGUAGAUAUCAAGCAGAACACCUGCGGCGAAGGCGGCCUUCUGGACGAUGACUGACGCUGAGACGCGAAAGCGUGGGGAGCAAACAGG